rnacentral:lncRNA from 1 species
UGGCAUCCUCAGUCAAUUCUUCACCCACGACACCUAUUUUGCGGAGAAAUUUUGACUUUUUGAGAAGAGUUACCACUUAAUUUUAAAAAAAAAUUAAGAAACCUGUAAAGAGUUACUUCAAACGAUCUAAAACCAAAAAAUCAUUUAAGUUAAGAGAUUCUGAAUAAGCGGUUCUUAUUAACGUUUUAGGAAGGUGUUAGGCACCUAAAAUGUCUUCGAUUAACUUCUGAAAUUUGAUUCAUUGAAAAAUGGUUGGUUUGCAAAAAAUUAAGUUUUAGCAAAUUCAUUAGGGGAUUUAACUAGGUUCGUAAAAGGCAUGCAAAACAAAUAAUCAAAAAGAAAGGGGAAGAGAGGAGAAGUAAUGAUUUAGGAUUUGAAGCCCAAACUAUUAAGCCUGUCCUAAUCUAGUUGGGUUUUCAACCUAUUUUUCCUCUCACCUGUCCUAUUUCUAUGUUUUCUGGCCCUUUGGCUCGAGUUUUCACUUUACCUGUAUUAAAUACAACUUUGGCUUCGAGGCCCAAAUGAAUGAAAAAUGAAUAAACAAAAUAAAAUAAAUAAUAAAUAAUAAAAAAACAACAACACUAAUUAAACAAAAUGAAAUAAUAAAUGAGACUUUUGUCACUUAGCCGCUUCAAAUACGGGACUUUAACCCGUUCCUUUUCUUUCGACUCUUUGUAUUUGCGCGCUAUUUAUCCGGCUUUGGGCUCUUUUUCUGGAUUGACCCAACAAGAUGGGCCUCACUGGCCCAUGAUGAAUGUGCAAGAGGGAGAGAGUUCAUGUAGGACUCAGUCGAAAGUAGGAGAGAUUAAUGUGCAGGCCCGAAGCGCAGUACACCAUACAGAUAUCCAACACAACAAAUCAAUAACAAAAGACAUGGAAUUAUUGUAAUUUUAAACAACAUAGCAAAUAGUAUGCAAAAGUAUAGAAAGUAAAAGAAACGCAAUUAUGGCUAGCACCAAUAUAUAAAUGAAACAUUUAAGACUACAUUUGUAAGAAUACUCAUAAACAGGAAUAAGCAAAUAAGGAGACGUACAAUAGAAUUGGGAAUUUAAAAUAAAUCUCUUAAGCGACCUAUUCAUAACACUAGUUGGGGAAAGAGCCAUUCUUUUCAGAGAGAUAAACCAGAGCCCCUCCCUGUACAAUUUCUUCAAAAAGGAUACAACUCCUAAACAUACCAUACCAAAAAUCGGAUAGCUUGGAACAGCGAACAACGAAAUACAAUAAUGACUUACUUAAGAAAGAGUGAAUGAAACUUGACAUAAGAGUUGUUCAAACAAGCCAAGACUCAAUAAGUUUGGAAGUUGAAGAAUAAGCAUAUUUGCACUACAGUGAGCAAGUAAGUAGCAGACCCCUGAGCAGCUAAGAAGGUCUUAAUAAUUAUCAAUCGAAUCGAAACAUGAAACUUUAAUCGCAGAAGACAGAUAAAAAAAAUUUUUGAACAGCCUGAAACUUCAAAAAAAACAUGAAACUUUAAACACGAAACCAACUUCAGUAGGAUACUAGCGAUCCGAAACAGAUCGAAGAACCUAAGACCUUAGCUAACAAACCCGCGUUAACAAGAUACUAGUUAUUCCAAACAACAAUCAGAAGCACGAACUUCACAAAAAUGUAUGGUCCUUAAGACCUCAACAACAAACAAAGCCAGCAACCAUGAUUAUACACAACAUAGCUAUACGGCUAAAAUGCUACAGCAGCAUCGCUUAGAAGAAUAAAGAAAAAGAAGAACGCAUUUUGAAACCAAAAGAGAUGAAGGGUUACCUGCUUCGGGGCAGCAAAACAGGACUCCCAAGCUAAUAUUAGACUCCAACACCACCGAAAAUCGGACCCUCUAGAAUGAUGAGUAAUUGACAACUCGAAAUAAACUUAUUGGAAAAUCAAAGUUUUACUGCGUUUUCUUCUUCCCCUCCCAGACCCUAAAGAAACAUGUUUCCAACCUAGAUUUAAACAGUAACCCCUUUCCCAAAGAAAGAUCUCCCCAAGCUUCUAACUCCAGAAACUUUUAUUCAAAUUUUCGAACCGUCGCCUCUUCGAGAAAAGAACCCCCAGAAAACCUCUCCAAAUCCCUUACUUUGAAUCAAAAUCGACCCAAACCCUAAAUUUCUCCACUCUUAGAACCUUAGAGCUCCCAGAAAAAUCCUCCUCUUCAGACCCUAAAGAGAGCUAUUUAUAGAAGGGGGGGUUGAGGGUUCGUUUUGAAUCCUCACAAAUCGCACCCCUAUUGUUCUUCUUGAACGGAUUUUCAACAGAUGGCCAACAACCAUUGGGGCAAAAUGAACGAAUGAAAAUUUGCCGAACAGGUAUGAAUCCGAAAAUCACGGAAUUCGGACGUUGGGGGUAACACCUCACUCUCUUUCUAGAAGAUUUCGUACCAAAAUCAUGUGGGAAAGCACGCGACUGUGAAGAGGAAGCAGAAAACGGGUUGAGAUAAGGGGAAUCGGGGGGGAAAUAGGUUGGGGUUUUGCAUGGUUGUUUUCGCAUUGCUGUUGGUGUAGCUUGUACGCGGUUUUUGUCGUGGCUGUUGUUUGUUUUUGGUGAGCUAUAAGCAGCUUUUGCUUAUUGAAGAAGAAAGGAUUAAAUGGUGUGGGCCGGGUAGGUUUUGUAGAUGUUUGUGCUGUUGAAAUUCGGGGCUAAUUUGGCAAAGUCAAAAGGAAAUUGGGCUUGGGCUUGUUAAUUUGAAGAGUGGCUUGGCAAUUUAAAAACUGAAAUUGAGGUUAUUAUAACACACCAAUUUGGCCUGAAAAUGCCCCGUUUAUGCCGUUUUACCCAUUUGACUACCCAAAAUAUCCUUGAAUAAAUAAAAAAAACCACACUGCGACGAUCCCCAACCUCUCUGGCAUACCCCGGUUGAUUUUUGGCCCACGUCACCCCCAAACCCUAGGCUACCCCCGAAGUCGUAGGCUUUAGCUUGAAUACACCCGUUUGCAUCGUUUGACCACCCAAAUGGCCUCGAAUAAAUAAACGAACCCUGGCAUCCUCAGUCAAUUCUUCACCCACGACACCUAUUUUGCGGAGAAAUUUUGACUUUUUGAGAAGAGUUACCACUUAAUUUUAAAAAAAAAUUAAGAAACCUGUAAAGAGUUACUUCAAACGAUCUAAAACCAAAAAAUCAUUUAAGUUAAGAGAUUCUGAAUAAGCGGUUCUUAUUAACGUUUUAGGAAGGUGUUAGGCACCUAAAAUGUCUUCGAUUAACUUCUGAAAUUUGAUUCAUUGAAAAAUGGUUGGUUUGCAAAAAAUUAAGUUUUAGCAAAUUCAUUAGGGGAUUUAACUAGGUUCGUAAAAGGCAUGCAAAACAAAUAAUCAAAAAGAAAGGGGAAGAGAGGAGAAGUAAUGAUUUAGGAUUUGAAGCCCAAACUAUUAAGCCUGUCCUAAUCUAGUUGGGUUUUCAACCUAUUUUUCCUCUCACCUGUCCUAUUUCUAUGUUUUCUGGCCCUUUGGCUCGAGUUUUCACUUUACCUGUAUUAAAUACAACUUUGGCUUCGAGGCCCAAAUGAAUGAAAAAUGAAUAAACAAAAUAAAAUAAAUAAUAAAUAAUAAAAAAACAACAACACUAAUUAAACAAAAUGAAAUAAUAAAUGAGACUUUUGUCACUUAGCCGCUUCAAAUACGGGACUUUAACCCGUUCCUUUUCUUUCGACUCUUUGUAUUUGCGCGCUAUUUAUCCGGCUUUGGGCUCUUUUUCUGGAUUGACCCAACAAGAUGGGCCUCACUGGCCCAUGAUGAAUGUGCAAGAGGGAGAGAGUUCAUGUAGGACUCAGUCGAAAGUAGGAGAGAUUAAUGUGCAGGCCCGAAGCGCAGUACACCAUACAGAUAUCCAACACAACAAAUCAAUAACAAAAGACAUGGAAUUAUUGUAAUUUUAAACAACAUAGCAAAUAGUAUGCAAAAGUAUAGAAAGUAAAAGAAACGCAAUUAUGGCUAGCACCAAUAUAUAAAUGAAACAUUUAAGACUACAUUUGUAAGAAUACUCAUAAACAGGAAUAAGCAAAUAAGGAGACGUACAAUAGAAUUGGGAAUUUAAAAUAAAUCUCUUAAGCGACCUAUUCAUAACACUAGUUGGGGAAAGAGCCAUUCUUUUCAGAGAGAUAAACCAGAGCCCCUCCCUGUACAAUUUCUUCAAAAAGGAUACAACUCCUAAACAUACCAUACCAAAAAUCGGAUAGCUUGGAACAGCGAACAACGAAAUACAAUAAUGACUUACUUAAGAAAGAGUGAAUGAAACUUGACAUAAGAGUUGUUCAAACAAGCCAAGACUCAAUAAGUUUGGAAGUUGAAGAAUAAGCAUAUUUGCACUACAGUGAGCAAGUAAGUAGCAGACCCCUGAGCAGCUAAGAAGGUCUUAAUAAUUAUCAAUCGAAUCGAAACAUGAAACUUUAAUCACAAAAGUCAGGUAAAAAAAAAUAAUUCCAACAGCCUGAAACUUUAAACACGAAACCAACUUCAGUAGGAUACUAGCGAUCCGAAACAGAUCGAAGAACCUAAGACCUUAGCUAACAAACCCGCGUUAACAAGAUACCAGUUAUUCCAAACAACAAUCAGAAGCACGAACUUCACAAAAAUGUAUGGUCUUUAAGACCUCAACAACCAACAACGCCAGCAACCACGAUUAUACACAACAUAGCUAUACGGCUAAAAUGCUACAGCAGCAUCGCUUAGAAGAAUAAAGAAAAAGAAGAACGCAUUUUGAAACCAAAAGAGAUGAAGGGUUACCUGCUUCGGGGCAGCAAAACAGGACUCCCAAGCUAAUAUUAGACUCCAACACCACCGAAAAUCGGACCCUCUAGAAUGAUGAGUAAUUGACAACUCGAAAUAAACUUAUUGGAAAAUCAAAGUUUUACUGCGUUUUCUUCUUCCCCUCCCAGACCCUAAAGAAACAUGUUUCCAACCUAGAUUUAAACAGUAACCCCUUUCCCAAAGAAAGAUCUCCCCAAGCUUCUAACUCCAGAAACUUUUAUUCAAAUUUUCGAACCGUCGCCUCUUCGAGAAAAGAACCCCCAGAAAACCUCUCCAAAUCCCUUACUUUGAAUCAAAAUCGACCCAAACCCUAAAUUUCUCCACUCUUAGAACCUUAGAGCUCCCAGAAAAAUCCUCCUCUUCAGACCCUAAAGAGAGCUAUUUAUAGAAGGGGGGGUUGAGGGUUCGUUUUGAAUCCUCACAAAUCGCACCCCUAUUGUUCUUCUUGAACGGAUUUUCAACAGAUGGCCAACAACCAUUGGGGCAAAAUGAACGAAUGAAAAUUUGCCGAACAGGUAUGAAUCCGAAAAUCACGGAAUUCGGACGUUGGGGGUAACACCUCACUCUCUUUCUAGAAGAUUUCGUACCAAAAUCAUGUGGGAAAGCACGCGACUGUGAAGAGGAAGCAGAAAACGGGUUGAGAUAAGGGGAAUCGGGGGGGAAAUAGGUUGGGGUUUUGCAUGGUUGUUUUCGCAUUGCUGUUGGUGUAGCUUGUACGCGGUUUUUGUCGUGGCUGUUGUUUGUUUUUGGUGAGCUAUAAGCAGCUUUUGCUUAUUGAAGAAGAAAGGAUUAAAUGGUGUGGGCCGGGUAGGUUUUGUAGAUGUUUGUGCUGUUGAAAUUCGGG